GUCGGGAAGCGUUGGAAAGGUGAAAUACAAUAUUUAAAGCAGAAAGAGAGAUAUUUAUGUAACCCAAAAGGGACGGGUGACUAAAGUAUAUUGGCACCCUGUCCAGGGUGUACCCUGCCUUGUGCCCUAGACCUCCUGGGAUAGGCUUCAAGUUCCUGCGACCCUGAAUACAGGAUAAAGAGGACUGUGAUAUUUUAGGACUCUCUGGGUACUUUACAAAUAUUCAAAGAUGGAGACUGCUGAUC